rnacentral:rRNA from 1 species
UACGAAGGGGGCUAGCGUUGCUCGGAAUUACUGGGCGUAAAGGGCGCGUAGGCGGCACUGUUAGUCAGGCGUGAAAUUCCUGGGCUCAACCUGGGGACUGCGCUUGAUACGGCAGAGCUAGAGGAUGGAAGAGGCUCGCGGAAUUCCCAGUGUAGAGGUGAAAUGCGUAGAUAUCUGGAGGAACACCGGUGGCGAAGGCGGCAUCCUGGACCAAUACUGACACUGAAAAGCGAAAGCCAGGGGAGCAAACGGG